UACGUAGGCAGCAAGCGUUGUUCGGAGUUACUGGGCGUAAAGGGUGUGUAGGCGGUUUGAUAAGUGUGGUGUGAAAUCUCCCGGCUUAACUGGGAGGGUGCGCUAGAAACUGUCUGACUAGAGUGUGGGAGGGGAGAGUGGAAUUCCUGGUGUAGCGGUGAAAUGCGUAGAUAUCAGGAGGAACACCGGUGGUGAAGACGGCUCUCUGGACCAUAACUGACGCUGAGACACGAAAGCGUGGGGAGCAAACAGG
rnacentral:rRNA from 1 species